rnacentral:rRNA from 1 species
UACGUAGGCAGCAAGCGUUGUUCGGAAUUACUGGGCGUAAAGAGUACGUAGGUGGUUUGCCAAGUCCGAUGUGAAAUCUCCUGGCUUAACUGGGAGGGUGCGUUAGAUACUGGCAGGCUUGAGUGUGGGAGAGGAGAGCGGAAUUCCUGGUGUAGCGAUGAAAUGCGUAGAUAUCAGGAGGAACGCCUGUGGUGUAGACGGCUCUCUGGACCAUUACUGACACUGAGGUACGAAAGCGUGGGUAGCAAACAGG